AUUGAACGCUGGCGGCAGGCCUAACACAUGCAAGUCGAGCGGCAGCACGGGAAGCUUGCUUCCUGGUGGCGAGCGGCGGACGGGUGAGUAAUGCAUAGGAAUCUGCCCGAUAGUGGGGGAUAACCUGGGGAAACCCAGGCUAAUACCGCAUACGUCCUACGGGAGAAAGCAGGGGCUCUUCGGACCUUGCGCUAUCGGAUGAGCCUAUGUCGGAUUAGCUGGUUGGUGAGGUAAUGGCUCACCAAGGCGACGAUCCGUAGCUGGUCUGAGAGGAUGAUCAGCCACAUCGGGACUGAGACACGGCCCGAACUCCUACGGGAGGCAGCAGUGGGGAAUAUUGGACAAUGGGCGCAAGCCUGAUCCAGCCAUGCCGCGUGUGUGAAGAAGGCCCUCGGGUUGUAAAGCACUUUCAGUGGGGAAGAAAGCCUUGGGGCUAAUGCCCUCGAGGAAGGACAUCACCCACAGAAGAAGCACCGGCUAACUCCGUGCCAGCAGCCGCGGUAAUACGGAGGGUGCGAGCGUUAAUCGGAAUUACUGGGCGUAAAGCGCGCGUAGGUGGCUUGAUAAGCCGGUUGUGAAAGCCCCGGGCUCAACCUGGGAACGGCAUCCGGAACUGUCAGGCUAGAGUGCAGGAGAGGAAGGUAGAAUUCCCGGUGUAGCGGUGAAAUGCGUAGAGAUCGGGAGGAAUACCAGUGGCGAAGGCGGCCUUCUGGACUGACACUGACACUGAGGUGCGAAAGCGUGGGUAGCAAACAGGAUUAGAUACCCUGGUAGUCCACGCCGUAAACGAUGUCGACUAGCCGUUGGGAGCCUCGAGUUCUUAGUGGCGCAGUUAACGCGAUAAGUCGACCGCCUGGGGAGUACGGCCGCAAGGUUAAAACUCAAAUGAAUUGACGGGGGCCCGCACAAGCGGUGGAGCAUGUGGUUUAAUUCGAUGCAACGCGGAGAACCUUACCUACCCUUGACAUCGUGCGAACUUGGUAGAGAUACCUUGGUGCCUUCGGGAACGCACAGACAGGUGCUGCAUGGCUGUCGUCAGCUCGUGUUGUGAAAUGUUGGGUUAAGUCCCGUAACGAGCGCAACCCUUGUCCCUAUUUGCCAGCGAUUCGGUCGGGAACUCUAGGGAGACUGCCGGUGACAAACCGGAGGAAGGUGGGGACGACGUCAAGUCAUCAUGGCCCUUACGGGUAGGGCUACACACGUGCUACAAUGGUCGGUACAAAGGGUUGCAAAGCGGCGACGUGGAGCUAAUCCCAUAAAGCUGAUCUCAGUCCGGAUCGGAGUCUGCAACUCGACUCCGUGAAGUCGGAAUCGCUAGUAAUCGUGAAUCAGAAUGUCACGGUGAAUACGUUCCCGGGCCUUGCACACACCGCCCGUCACACCAUGGGAGUGGACUGCACCAGAAGUGGUUAGCCUAACUUCGGAGGGCGAUCACCACGGUGUGGUUCAUGACUGGGGUGAAGUCGUAACAAGGUAGCCGUAGGGGAACC
rnacentral:rRNA from 1 species